UGGAACUGAGACACGGUCCAAACUCCUACGGGAGGCAGCAGGGGGGAAUAUUGCACAAUGGGCGAAAGCCUGAUGCAGCAACGCCGCGUGAGUGAUGAAGGCCUUCGGGUCGUAAAACUCUGUCCUCAAGGAAGAUAAUGACGGGACUUGAGGAGGAAGCCCCGGCUAACUACGUGCCAGCAGCCGCGGUAAUACGUAGGGGGCUAGCGUUAUCCGGAUUUACUGGGCGUAAAGGGUGCGUAGGCG
rnacentral:rRNA from 1 species